rnacentral:rRNA from 1 species
UACAGAGGUCUCAAGCGUUGUUCGGAUUCAUUGGGCGUAAAGGGCGCGUAGGUGGUUCUGUAUGUCUACCGUGAAAGCAUACAGCUCAACUGUAUUUUUGUCGGUAGAAAACUGCAGGACUUUGAGGCUGGGGAGGGGGCUGGUGGAAAUUCCCUGUGUAGCGGUGAAAAUGCGUAGAGAUGGGGGGAGAACACUCGUGGCGAAGGCGGCCAGCUAGACCAGUUCUGACACUGAGGCGCGACAGCGUGGGGAGCAAACAGG